rnacentral:rRNA from 1 species
GGCUGUCGUCAGCUCGUGUCGUGAGAUGUUGGGUUAAGUCCCGCAACGAGCGCAACCCACGUCUUUAGUUGCCAGCAUUAAGUUGGGCACUCUAGAGAGACCGCCGGUGAUAAACCGGAGGAAGGUGUGGAUGACGUCAAGUCAUCAUGCCCCUUACAUCCUGGGCUACACACGUACUACAAUGCUACGGACAAAGGGCCGCAAACUCGCGAGAGCUAGCAAAUCCCAUAAACCGUGGCUCAGUUCAGAUCGUAGGCUGCAACUCGCCUACGUGAAGGAGGAAUCGCUAGUAAUCGCAGGUCAGCAUACUGCGGUGAAUACGUUCCCGGGCCUUGUACACACCGCCCGUCACACCAUGGAAGUUGGCCACGCCCGAAGUCGUUACUCCAACCUGCAAGGGAGGAGGAUGCCGAAGGUGGGGCUGAUGACUGGGGUGAAGUCGUAACAAGGUAGCCGUACCGGAAGGUGCGGCUGGAUCACCUCCUAA